CUCAGUUAGCCUUAGCCACCCUCAUAAAGCUCCUGUCUCCAAACAUGGUCACACGGAGGGCUGGAGCCUCAACAUAUGAACCGAGGUUGGUGCGGGGGCACAGUCUAUACAAAUGACAAGACUGCUGUCACUGAGGGUCCCAAGCCCUUCUUCAGGUCAGAACUGAAGACUGCACCCUCCCCUCAGCUGCCCUGGGCCCUGUGACCACCCUCCUGCCAAAUGAGGUCCUUGAUGCCACCAAUUGCAGUGGGUAAAGAGCCUGCCUCCCACCGAGGGGACCGAGGGGCCGAGACUGGAGGUAGGUAAGGUGUAAAACGCCCAGGUUGCCACAUGCAGAGCUGGUGAGGACCUGCGUGUGAUGAGCGCGAGGCUCCCAGGGGCAGACCGUGGGAGAGCCACCCGGUGACGCCCUGGACGACUGGCACUCAAGAGUUCUGCGGAGCCUGCCCUGAGCGCUGCGGCUCUCCCGUGCGAAAGCCAUUGAGCUUUUGUGUUCAUUGUUGCAUGCCGAACAAUCGGGAAUGUUUUCCUUGGAAGCGGCGUGCGAUCCCAUCAUGCUGUACUUCCUUUGUACUGAACAAGUGUUAUUUAAUGAGGCAGUUUUGAUUGUUUUGGAGAUAGGCGUCUAUCUGGGAAGAGGCGGGCUGGUGUGAGUUUGUACUGGCAGCUUCCCCUAUUUUUUCUGGGAAAUCCUUCUUCCCGUGUGUAUAGAUGGCAAGUCUCACACAACGGCACAACCUCGCAGCCUGUGAGACCCUUGCCCCGGGUGGCUUGGAAGCGUCUGCUGUGGCCUGCAGCUCAGGGUCCUGGAGGAGGCCGCAGAGAGUGGGGGCAGAGGACAAGUCCAUGGCGCCUGGGAAAGUCACACUCCGAUGCACGCCACCAAAAGAGGCAGCACGGUGUCUAGCAGCUGUUGGUGGCCUCUCGGUGACCUCUCCACAGACACGAUGGACUCACUUCCGGGACCAGCCCUUCUACAGAGACUUCCAUCUAGCAUCCUCAUGGUGUCCGCCCGGGCUAUGCAAACCCAGAGACCUAGAAGCAGAAACCGAGAUUCCUCCUGAGCAGUGAGGCUCCUGUGUUGCUGGUGUCCACACCCCUCGGCCAGCUUCAGGCUCUAUUGCCUUAUCUUAAAUUAAAAACUCAACCAGAAGAAAAUGUCACCUUUCUGCUGGGGUCCGGAAGGCUUUGUGUGUGUUAACAAUAGUCUUGGAAGCUGUGCUCAAGGCGACCUCGAGGAUGUUUUGUUUUUCUGCUCUAGACACGUCGUGGCCGUCGGGGUGAAGAGAAAGAUGAGAAAAGAGGCUUGGACUGGACAGCCCUAACUGGCCACUCAGGUGUAGAAGACACAUACAUACAUUCACAUUUUUGUUUUCUUUUUCAACUUUUUUUUUUUUUUUGAGACAGAGUUUUGCCCUUAUUUCCCAGGCUGGAGUGCAAUGAUGUGAUCUUGGCUCAUAGCAACCUCCACCUCCCGGGUUCAAGUGAUUCUCCUGCCUCAGCCUGCCAAGUAUCUGGGAUUGCAGGCAUGUGCCACCAUUCCCGGCUUAUUUUGUAUUUUUAGUAGAGAUGGGGUUUCUCCAUGUUGGUCAGGCUGGUCUCGAACUCCUGACCUCAGGUGAUCCGCCUGCCUUGGCCUCCCAAAGUGCUGGGAUUACAGGCAUGAGCCACCACACCUGGCUCUUUUUCAACUUUUAUUUUAGAGUCGGUGAGUACCUGUGCAGGUUUGUUACAAAGGCAUAUGGCAUGAUUCUGAGGUUUGGGGUAUGACUGGCCCCCAGGUAGUGAGCAGAGUGCCCACAGGUAGUUUUUCAGCCCUUGCCCCUCUUCCCCACUCCCAGCUCUCGUAGUUCUCAGUGGCGAUUUUUCCCAUCUUUAUUCACAAUAGCAAAAACACAGAAUCAACCCAGGUUCCCAUGAACGGUGGAUUGGAUAAAGAUGUGGUUCCUAUAUACCAUGGACCACUACGAGGCCAUAAAAAAGAAUGAAAUCAUGUCUUUGGCAGCAACAUGGAUGCAGCUGGAGGUCAUUACCCUAAGCCAAUUAACACAGGAAUAGAAAAGCAAAUACA
rnacentral:lncRNA from 13 species